GAGAGUUAAACAGUACGUGAAAUUGUUGAAAGGGAAACGAUUGAAGCCAGUCGUACCUUCGGGUAAUCAGCCUUUCGGGUGCGAUUCUGUGGAGUUUGAGGAGCUUUAACACCUUCAUGCUUUGCAUAUUCGUGCUCUUGGGUGUACUUGCCCGUGUGGUUGGUUAACAUCAAUUUCGGGCACCAUAAAAUGGCUGGAGGAAUGUAGCUUCGAUCUUGUAUUGAAGUGUUAUAGCCUUCGGUAGAUGUGGUGAUCGAGAUUGAGGAUUGCAACGGAUACCUUUCGGGGCUACCUGUCUGAUCUCUGAUCGUUGCUUUGGUGCUGAAAGCGUGCUUAUAGUUAUUAAAGUCGAUGGUCAAUAGGUUAGAAUGGGUUAAAUUCGUUAAGGAUGUUGACGUAAUGGCUUUAAACGA
rnacentral:rRNA from 1 species